UACGUAGGGAGCAAGCGUUGUCCGGAAUCAUUGGGCGUAAAGCGCGCGUAGGCGGCCUCAUAAGUCCGUUGUGAAAGUCAAAGGCUCAACCUUUGAAAGCCGAUGGAUACUGUGAGGCUAGAGUCCGGAAGAGGCGAGUGGAAUUCCUGGUGUAGCGGUGGAAUGCGCAGAUAUCAGGAGGAACACCAAUAGCGAAGGCAGCUCGCUGGGACGGUGCUGACGCUAAGGCGCGAAAGCGUGGGGAGCGAACAGG
rnacentral:rRNA from 1 species